rnacentral:rRNA from 1 species
AUUGAACGCUGGCGGCAUGCCUUACACAUGCAAGUCGAACGGUAGGGGGAGCAAUCCCCUGAGAGUGGCGAACGGGUGAGUAAAGCAUCGGAACGUGCCCAGUUGUGGGGGAUAACUACUCGAAAGAGUGGCUAAUACCGCAUACGACCUGAGGGUGAAAGCGGGGGACCGAAAGGCCUCGCGCAGUUGGAGCGGCCGAUGUCAGAUUAGCUAGUUGGGGGGGUAAAGGCCCACCAAGGCGACGAUCUGUAGCUGGUCUGAGAGGACGACCAGCCACACGGGGACUGCGACACGGCCCAGACUCAUACGGGAGGCAGCAGUGGGGAAUUUUGGACAAUGGGCGCAAGCCUGAUCCAGCCAUGCCGCGUGCAGGAAGAAGGCCUUCGGGUUGUAAACUGCUUUUGUCAGGGAAGAAAUCCCUUGGGUUAAUACCUCGGGGGGAUGACGGUACCUGAAGAAUAAGCACCGGCUAACUACGUGCCAGCAGCCGCGGUAACAC